rnacentral:rRNA from 1 species
UACGAAGGGUGCAAACGUUGCUCGGAAUUAUUGGGCGUAAAGCGCACGUAGGCGGCUUGGCAAGUCGGAUGUGAAAUCCCUCGGCUCAACCAAGGAAGUGCAUCCGAAACUGCUGAGCUUGAGUACUUAAGAGGAUCGCGGAAUUCCCGGUGUAGAGGUGAAAUUCGUAGAUAUUCGCAAGAACACCAGUGGCGAAGGCGGCUCACUGGCCCGGUACUGACGCUGAGGUGCGAAAGCGUGGGGAGCAAACAGG